ACUUAUCCAUUGUUCCAGGUCAAACUCAUCACCAACCUGUUCUUUGAAUGGGGCUUAAGGAUUGUUUCACAGCAGGUGAAGGAAGAUCAGAAGUAAAGAAACUGGAAUUCACUAGCAACCAAGCAACAAUUACAGCCAUCUCAAAUCACACUUGUUCUCUGCUGAAACCCUUC
rnacentral:lncRNA from 11 species